rnacentral:rRNA from 1 species
CCUACGGGGGGCAGCAGUGAGGAAUAUUGGUCAAUGGGCGCGAGCCUGAACCAGCCAAGUAGCGUGAAGGAUGACUGCCCUACGGGUUUUAAACUUCUUUUAUAAAGGAAUAAAGUGAGGCACGUGUGCCUUUUUGUAUGUACUUUAUGUAUAAGGAACGGCUAACUCCACGCCAGUCGCCGCGGUAAUACGGAGGAUCCGAGCGUUAUCCGGAUUUAUUUGGUUUAAAGGGAGCGUAGAUGGGUUGUUAAGUCAGUUGUGAAAGUUUGCGGCUCAACCGUAAAAUUGCAAUUGAUACUGGCAGCCUUGAGUACAGUUGAGGUAGGCGGAAUUCGUGGUGUAGCGGUGAAAUGCUUAGAUAUCACGAAGAACACCGAUUGCGAAGGCAGCCUACUAAACUGCCACUGACAUUGAUGCUCGAAAGUGUGGGUAUCAAACAGGAUUAGAUACCCGAGUAGUC